rnacentral:rRNA from 1 species
GACGAACGCUGGCGGCGUGCUUAACACAUGCAAGUCGAACGGUGAAGCGCCUUCCUUUUUGGUGGGAGUGGAUGCGUGGCGGAGGGGUGAAUAACACGAGAGUAACCUGCCCCCUUCUUCUGGAUAACCGCAUGAAAGUGUGUCUAAUACGGGAUAUUCUGGGUCUUUCGCAUGAUGGGUCUGGGAAAGCUAUUGUUUCGGUGGGGGAUGGGGUCGCGGCCUAUCAGCUUGUUGGUGGGGUGAUGGCCUACCAAGGCGGUGACGGGUAGCCGGCCUGGGAGGGUGGACGGCAACAGUGGGAAGGCGGCAACGCGCAGACUGCGACAGGGGGCAGAAGUGGAGAGUAGGCAACAGUGGGGAGAAGUCUGAUGCAGCGGCGCGGCGGGAGUGAUGGAGGCCUGCGGGUUGUGAACCGCUUUCGGCAGUGAAGCAGGCCUGCCUCGGUUGUGGGGAGGUUGACGGUAGCUGGAGAAGAAGCGCCGGCUAACUACGUG